GUACUACUCCCUCCGUCCCGAAAUUCUUGUCUUACAUUUGUCUAAAUAUGGAUGUAUCUAGUUACAUUUUAGUGUUAGAUACAUCCGUAUCUAAACAAAUCUAAGACAAGAAUUUUGGGACGGAGGGAGUACUUG
rnacentral:pre_miRNA from 1 species